UACAGGAGGGGGCAAGCGUUGUUCGGAAUUACUGGGCGUAAAGGGCGCGUAGGCGGCCUUCUAAGUCGAACGUGAAAUCCCCGGGCUCAACCCGGGAACUGCGUCCGAUACUGGAAGGCUUGAAUCCGGGAGAGGGAUGCGGAAUUCCAGGUGUAGCGGUGAAAUGCGUAGAUAUCUGGAGGAACACCGGUGGCGAAGGCGGCAUCCUGGACCGGUAUUGACGCUGAGGCGCGAAAGCGUGGGGAGCGAACAGG
rnacentral:rRNA from 1 species